rnacentral:rRNA from 1 species
CAUCCAAGGAAGGCAGCAGGCGCGCAAAUUACCCAAUCCCGAUUCGGGGAGGUAGUGACAAUAAAUACUGAUACAGGGCUCUUUUGGGUCUUGUAAUUGGAAUGAGUACAAUUUAAAUCCCUUAACGAGGAACAAUUGGAGGGCAAGUCUGGUGCCAGCAGCCGCGGUAAUUCCAGCUCCAAUAGCGUAUAUUAAAGUUGUUGCAGUUAAAAAGCUCGUAGUUGAACCUUGGGCCUGGCUGGCCGGUCCGCCUCACCGCGUGCACUGGUUCGGCCGGGCCUUUCCCUCUGGGGAGCCGCAUGCUCUUUAUUGAGUGUGUCGGGGAACCAGGACUUUUACUGUGAAAAAAUUAGAGUGUUCAAAGCAGGCCUAUGCUCGAAUACAUUAGCAUGGAAUAAUAGAAUAGGACGUGUGGUUCUAUUUUGUUGGUUUCUAGGACCGCCGUAAUGAUUAAUAGGGACAGUCGGGGGCAUCAGUAUUCAAUUGUCAGAGGUGAAAUUCUUGGAUUUAUUGAAGACUAACUACUGCGAAAGCAUUUGCCAAGGAUGUUUUCAUUAACCAGGAACGAAAGUUAGGGGAUCGAAGACGAUCAGAUACCGUCGUAGUCUUAACCAUAAACUAUGCCGACUAGGGAUCGGACGAUGUUAUUAUUUGACCCGUUCGGCACCUUACGAGAAAUC